rnacentral:rRNA from 1 species
UACGUAGGAGGCAAGCGUUGUCCGGAAUUACUGGGCGUAAAGCGCACGUAGGCGGCUUUGUAAGUAAGAGGUGAAAGCCCAGAGCUCAACUCUGGAAUUGCCUUUUAGACUGCAUCGCUUGAAUCAUGGAGAGGUCAGUGGAAUUCCUGGUGUAGCGGUGAAAUGCGUAGAUAUCAGGAGGAACACCGGUGGCGAAGGCGGGCUACCUGGACAGAAACUGA